AACGAACGCUGGCGGCAUGCCUAACACAUGCAAGUCGAACGAUACCUUCGGGUCUUGUGGCGCCCGGGUGCGUACCGCUUGGGAACCUGCCCUUCGGUUCGGUAUAACUUCCCCAACCGGGUGCUAAUACCGGAUAAUGUCUUCGGACCAAAGAUUUAUCGCCUUUGGAUGGGCCCGCGUUGGAUUAGCUAGUUGGUAGGGUAAAAGCCUACCAAUGCGACGAUCCAUAGCUGGUCUGAGAGGAUGAUCAGCCACACUGGGACUGAGACACGGCCCAGACUCCUACGGGAGGCAGCAGUGGGGAAUAUUGGACAAUGGGCGAAAGCCUGAUGCGGCAAUGCCGCGUGAGUGAUGAAGGCAUUAGGGUUGUAAAGCUCUUUUACCCGGGAUGAUAAUGACAGUACCGGGAGAAUAAGCUCCGGCUAACUCCGUG
rnacentral:rRNA from 1 species